rnacentral:rRNA from 1 species
GACGUAGGGGGCAAGCGUUGUCCGGAUUUAUUGGGCGUAAAGAGCGUGUAGGCGGCCAGACAGGUCCGUUGUGAAAACUAGAGGCUUAACCUCUAGACGUCGAUGGAAACCGUCUGGCUAGAGUCCGGAAGAGGAGAAUGGAAUUCCUGGUGUAGCGGUGAAAUGCGCAGAUAUCAGGAAGAACACCCGUGGCUAAGGCGGUUCUCUAGUACGGUACUGACGCUGAGACGCGAAAGCGUGGGGAGCGAACAGG